rnacentral:rRNA from 1 species
UACAGAGGGUGCAAGCGUUAAUCGGAUUUACUGGGCGUAAAGGGCGCGUAGGUGGUUGUUUAAGUGAGAUGUGAAAGCCCAGAGCUCAACUCUGGAACUGCCCUUGAAACUGUAUGGCUUGAGUAUGAGAGAGGUGAGUGGAAUUCCCAGUGUAGAGGUGAAAUUCGUAGAUAUUGGGAAGAACACCGGUGGCGAAGGCGGCUCACUGGCUCAUUACUGACGCUCAGGCGCGACAGCGUGGGGAUCAAACAGG